rnacentral:SRP_RNA from 1 species
CAUUGGUCCCUUUACGAUGCUAGGUUGCAAACCCCGCCAGGUCCGGAAGGAAGCAACGGUAGUAGCUGAUGCAAGCGCCAAAGUGCGGCUGGUGUUC